GACGAAUGCUGGCGGCGUGCUUAACACAUGCAAGUCGAACGGUGAAGCGCCUUCCUUUUUGGUGGGUGUGGAUGAGUGGCGAACGGGUGAGUAACACGUGAGUAACCUGCCCCCUUCUUCUGGAUAACCGCAUGAAAGUGUGGCUAAUACGGGAUAUUCUGGGUCUGUCGCAUGAUGGGUCUGGGAAAGAUAUUGUUUCGGUGGGGGAUGGGCUCGCGGCCUAUCAGCUUGUUGGUGGGGUGAUGGCCUACCAAGGCGGUGACGGGUAGCCGGCCUGAGAGGGUAGACGGUCACACUGGGACUGAGACACGGCCCAGACUCCUACGGGAGGCAGCAGUGGGGAAUAUUGCACAAUGGGCGCAAGCCUGAUGCAGCGACGCCGCGUGAGGGAUGGAGGCCUUCGGGUUGUGAACCUCUUUCGCCAGUGAAGCAGGCCUGCCUCGUUUGUGGGUGGGUUGACGGUAGCUGGAGAAGAAGCGCCGGCUAACUACGUG
rnacentral:rRNA from 1 species